UACGGGGGGAGCAAGCGUUGUUCGGAUUUACUGGGCGUAAAGGGCGCGUAGGCGGUCAGCACAAGUCAGUUGUGAAAUCUCCGGGCUUAACUCGGAAAGGUCAACUGAUACUGUGCGACUAGAGUGCGGAAGGGGGCAACUGGAAUUCUUGGUGUAGCGGUGAAAUGCGUAGAUAUCAAGAGGAACACCUGCGGCGAAGGCGGGUUGCUGGGCCGACACUGACGCUGAGGCGCGAAAGCCAGGGGAGCGAACGGG
rnacentral:rRNA from 1 species